GCCAGAAACUUCAACAUUGUGAGGCGAAGAGAUCGUUUUGGAAUAUAAAGCUUGGAUAUUACAUUUCCUCUGACUCUUGGGGAUUUAUGAAAAUCAAGUUUUGGUCAAAAUACCACUUUGUUGUUGACAGGACAACGACAACAGAUUUACACAACUUGCUGCUGGACUGUCGGAAAACAACAAAAGGUGUAAACGCCCCCCUUUUUAGACGCACCGCUCCAUUUGAGCUCUGUGAUGCUGUGGAAUAG